ACCAUACAUCAUUUUCAAAUUGGAGCAGAACCAAAGCAGCAGCCCUUCCUCUGCACCCCUGCUUUGCCCCGUCCACCCAGAACCAACCUUAGAUGUGCUGACGAUGCUUCGAGCUGGUGUCAUCUUGCGGCCGCGGUAGAAGAGAGCGUGCUGAUGACGGCUGAGCCAAAGGUGGGAAGUUGAGCUGCGGAUAAAUCAACACCUGGAGCUGUCCUACUGCUGGACGUGCGGUUAGGUGAGACGAAAGACUAUUUAAAACGAGAUUCUCUACAAGUGUGCGGGGAUGCGGAGGACAGUACUACCGAGAGACGUGCUUGGGGUUUGGUCUCAGAAGAUCUGGCUUUGAGGCUGUGUCCCGGCUCUGACCAAGAACGUGGUGUUGAAUUUUACCUGAGACCUGUGUUCCUGGUAAAGGCUACCUGUAAAGGACCACCCUGUUCUCACCUAUUCUGAGAUAAGACUCAACUCCACCUUUCCUCUGUGACUCUGAUUUCCUUGCUUAGCUGGCAAUGUAUCUCAAGGCCCC